UACGAAGGGUGCUAGCGUUGUUCGGAAUCACUGGGCGUAAAGCGCGCGUAGGCGGCGAUACAAGUCAGAGGUGAAAGCCUGGAGCUCAACUCCAGAAUUGCCUUUGAAACUGCAUUGCUAGAGUGUCGGAGGGGAUAGCGGAAUUACUAAUGUAGAGGUGAAAUUCGUAGAUAUUAGCAGGAACACCGGUGGCGAAGGCGGCUAUCUGGACGACAACUGACGCUGAGGCGCGAAAGCGUGGGGAUCAAACAGG
rnacentral:rRNA from 1 species